AAUAAGAUCCUUUCUCUUUAGUGUAAACGGAAAAGAACAGUAACCAAGAAUAAUUUCCACGUUAGCAUUUUUAUUGGUGUUAUUUAGACCUGUUUUAACACCUUGGAACUCAAAAUAUGAUUAAUACUUUCCCCAGGUAACGUUUGAUUCGCGUUGGAAAUAGGACUUGGUUGAUAGAUGUUAUCUAGGUAACGCUACCUAGCUAUCUGCUAACGUUAGCUAACAAUGGCUAACUGUAUGGUUUUUCACACUCAAUUAGCCUCCAUCAUGGAGGUGCUAGCGAAUUCAGCCGUUGCAGAGAUAUGUAAACUCGUAGACGACGACUAUGCAGUGUUUCGUUUGGAAAUAACUCAAAGCCAGAAAGAAAACAGGGCAUUGCGGAGAAAACUGCAGCUACUGGAACUGAAGGUGGCACGGGAGCGCGCAGAGAAGACAAUGCGAGAGCGCGUCCUCACUAGUCGUCCCAGUAGUGUCAAGAUCCUCGACCGAUACAGAGGAAUGGCAAGAGGUGAAGGACAUCUCACUGGAGGCCUUAAGAGCUUUGUGAAGCCAGCGGAACACAAUGCGUGGAGAGAUGACCAACCCAUAGCUAUAGAUGAGGGGAGUGGAUCCUCAACCCAGCAUGUUAUCGUGAUAGAGUCAGCAGAGGCUGCAGGACCUGGGGUCAAGCAGGAGAAGACUGAAGGAGAGGAGAACUCAAGACACAGCAGAGACAUCCAGACGGGUGCAGAGACUGGAGUGGCGCUCCCUGUAGCCACGGAGGACCUCGCCACCUUCGUCGCACCGCAGGUCAGGACUCGACGCAGCAUCACGGAGGAGGAGGAGGGUCCUGAGGUGCUGCUGAUGAAUGAGGUAUGAGGAGGGUCUGGGGAACCCUGAGAGGACCAUGGUCAUGGAGGACAACCAUACAACAACUCCUGAACCCACAGAGGAACCAGCUGAGCAGCACAGGACCACACACAGUCUCACUUAGUCUGCAGUCCAUGAGGACCUGCUGAUAUACGGUGUUGCUGGCGGGAGAGACCGGACCUCUGAAUCGGCUGGUCACAAACCCUGGCCCCAGAUCAGGAGGGGCAGACUCCACAACAACCACCACACAGAACACAACCUGUGGACAGGUGGACUGAACAACCUCAGUCCUGGUGGUCAUCAGAGAGACACAUCUGGGAUGCAAUGGCGUGUGUCCAAGGCGCAUAUUGAAGAUGCUAGAACUGUUUACAUUUACUUUUCGUCAGCCAACAAGAUGAGUAGGCCCAACGAACAGCCUAUGUCAAUCUACUAUCCCCCAUAGUACUAAAUUUGACUUAUUCUAUUGGUCAGCUUGUCCUUCUGUGCGAGAAAGAUAUAUUCCGAACAUGUUGUGGGAUGUGAUAGAUCUCAAAUUAAUACAACCCCUGUACAUCAAAAACCCUUUUAAAAGCAAUGAGACUUAUGCAACAGAUCAGAAGGUUUAGUAUAAAAUCUUGCUAAACUAUUAGGCUAUUUCUUCACAUUAUGAACGCAGCAAUGCGUAGGCUAUAACCGUGAAUGUUCCAAAAUGCAAUUAGUAGGAAAACACCAUUCUCAAAAGUACACUGCAAAUGCAAGUGGUUUCAUAUGACAGGGAUGAAAAUAUCCUUAAAAAAUUAUUUAGAAAGAGGGAAGAUCUAAAGAUGCAACAACAAGCAUGGGUUGUUAAUAUGACUAGGAUUGUGUCUUUGGCUGCUGGACAAGGAAAGAAAGUUGAGAACAUGAGAAAAAUAGGCCCUACUGGUUUCAAUGGGAUAUGAGGAAGUGUUUAUAAAAUAAUCCCCCUUGACAUUCCUAUGGUUGGAAAAUGGUAAGACAUGCCUCAUAAAAUGAUAAAAAACGUCCAGGUUUUAAACAGUUACAUUUACGGUUACAUAGUUUCAAAUUAAUAUACAGAUUGCCAUGUGGGUGAUGUUGCAGUGCACAACAGGCACUGGCCUUUCUUUCCUGUCGGAACAAACAAUGCCUCAAGUAUUUUCGACAGAAUCAGGCCUUUGGAUAUUAAUAAUGAUCCUACAUUAUAUUUGUCAAACAUGACUGGUGUUUAGCCUAUAUAUAUAUAAAAUGUGUAAUUAAAAGUCUCAUUAAAGUUUGGCUACAUUUUCAGGGGUUCCCUCAUGUCAGCAUCGGUCUGGAUAUGACAGGCUGUAGCCAAUACGCAUAGGCUAUCACGUACACUUUGACCUGCAGGCAAAUUAUUUACGUACAUUUACAUACACUUAUGUUUUUCUUAACAGAAUAGCGAGUGUUUUUUGGUUUUCAAAUCAAUUUAAUUGGCUAUUUUGGUUAACGGCCUUGGUGCCCUAGCAGAUGUCCUUGGUGCCCUGGCAGAUGGCUUUGGUGCCCUGGAAGAUUGGGCACCUCUUGAAGGCCAAAUGGCCUUGCAACUAAAAUCACGGAAUUCCAGCUGUGGGGAGUCUAUCAGGAAAUCUGUCUACUAAUGCCUGGUGAACGGCUUCAUAGAAGGCCUGGAUCUAGCAUUACUCACCUACCUCAUUGUUACCCCAUGAAUACAGACAGCUUCUGGAUAGGCGUUCACCAGAAGAGGUACCUAGCCUAUAACACAGUACCCAAUCACAACAACACCAAAACAAUAGCUAGAGGUCAAGGAGGCAGCUCAAAGACUAACCACCUAAGGGUGGUGGCUCCUGCUUCUACCUCUGGUGUCAUUGGGUGACAACAUGGGAGGCCAAGUAUUAGGACCGACGCCAAUUAGCUGUACGCCUGCCCCACGUGUGGGAAACUCUUCGCUGUGGCGAACUACGUAAAAAGGCACCAGACUGUUCACACCAAGGAGAGAUCCUUGAAGUGCAAACUAUGUUACAAGAGCUUCUCCUUCCUGACUAGCCUUAUCAGAUAUAGGAGUGUCCACAAUGGGGAGAAAUCGUAGCAGUGUGGCUUGAGAUGUACGCAGGGGAUAUGUGGGAACCAUUCCUUAGCUGGCAUAUUAUAGUUGUGAAGUGUCUUGGGGUAAGAUGGUAAUUAACCACAUACCCCUCAUUAACCCUUUGUUAAUAAUUUGAAACAGGCUUGUAAAUACCUGUUUUUAGAGAGAGAGUAAUCCUUGGCUAGAACAUGGACAGUUGAAUAUUUACCUUACUGAGGUAAUGUAGAUGGAAUAAAGUAUUUCUAUUGUAUUGCA